rnacentral:rRNA from 1 species
GUGAAAUUGUUGAAAGGGAAGCGCUUGCAACCAGACCUGCCUGCAGUUGCUCAUCCGGGCUUUUGCCCGGUGCACUCUUCUGCUGUCAGGCCAGCAUCGGUUCGGGCGGUCGGAUAAAGGCUUCGGGAAUGUAGCUCCUCUCGAGGAGUGUUAUAGCCCGUUGCGAAAUGCGGCCAGCUUGAACUGAGGUCCGCGCUUCGGCUAGGAUGCUGGCGUAAUGGUUGUAAGCGGCCCGUCUUGAAACACGGACCAAGGAGUCUAACAUCUGUGCGAGUGUUUGGGUGUCAAACCCGUGCGCGUAAUGAAAGUGAACGGAGGCGGGAACCCCUCGGGGUGCACCGUCGACCGAUCCUGAUGUCUUCGGAUGGAUUUGAGUAAGAGCAUAGCUGUUGGGACCCGAAAGAUGGUGAACUAUGCCUGAAUAGGGUGAAGCCAGAGGAAACUCUGGUGGAGGCUCGCAGCGGUUCUGACGUGCAAAUCGAUCGUCAAAUUUGGGCAUAGGGGCGAAAGACUAAUCGAACUAUCUAGUAGCUGGUUCCUGCCGAAGUUUCCCUCAGGAUAGCAGUAACGUUUUCAGUUUUAUGAGGUAAAGCGAAUGAUUAGAGGCCUGGGGGUUGAAACAACCUUCACCUAUUCUCAAACUUUAAAUAUGUAAGAAGUCCUUGUUACUUAGUUGAACGUGGACAUUUGAAUGUAUCGUUACUAGUGGGCCAUUUUUGGUAAGCAGAACUGGCGAUGCGGGAUGAACCGAACGCGG